GACAAUCUUGAUAAUCACUUUCAUCUUGACACUUCUCCGCUACCAACCACCAACCUACGGCAAGUACAAGUUUCCUAGCUAUGCUUCUACAAUCGGCUGGAUUAUUGCAGUGCUGCCCCUUCUACCGAUACCAGUCUACAUGGUCAUGACUGUCAGAAAGCACAUGGCGACCAAUUCCCUGAAGAAGAGUGUACGUCUUGCCUUGAGACCUGAUGAUGAAUGGCAACCUGCGA
rnacentral:lncRNA from 1 species